CCGGGCCGUCGUCUGGCCAUCGGCUCUGACGGCUCCGGGCCGUCGUCCGGCCAUCGGGUCUGACGGCUCCGGGCCGUGGUCCGGC
rnacentral:tRNA from 1 species